CCUACGGGUGGCAGCAGUGGGGAAUAUUGCACAAUGGGGGAAAGCCUGAUGCAGCGACGCCGCGUGAGUGAAGAAGUCAUUCGGUAUGUAAAGCUCUAUCAGCAGGGAAGAAAAGCACGGUCCGUGAGUAAGUACUCACGGCCAAUUACGUGCCAGACAGCCCCGGAAUACGGAGGGGGACAAGGUUAUCCGGAUUUUCCGGGUGGAAGGGGAGCGUAGACGGGAGGGCAAGUUAGGAGUGAAAUGCGUGGGCUCAACCCCAGGACUGCCGUGGAAACUGGACGACUGGAGUGCAGGAGAGGUAAGUGGAAUUCCUAGUGUAGCGGUGAAAUGCGUAGAUAUUAGGAAGAACACCAGUGGCGAAGGCGGCUUACUGGACUGUAACUGACGUUGAGGCUCGAAAGCGUGGGGAGCAAACAGGAUUAGAUACCCCGGUAGUC
rnacentral:rRNA from 1 species